GGAAUCUUAGACAAUGGGGGCAACCCUGAUCUAGCCAUGCCGCGUGAGCGAUGAAGGCCUUAGGGUUGUAAAGCUCUUUCAGCUGGGAAGAUAAUGACGGUACCAGCAGAAGAAGCCCCGGCUAACUCCGUGCCAGCAGCCGCGGUAAUACUGAGGGGGCUAGCGUUGUUCGGAAUUACGGGGCGUAAAGCGAACGUAGGCGGAGCGGAAAGUUGGGGGUGAAAUCCCGGGGCUCAACCUCGGAACUGCCUCCAAAACUAUCGGUCUUGAGUUCGAGAGAGGUGAGUGGAAUUCCGAGUGUAGAGGUGAAAUUCGUAGAUAUUCGGAGGAACACCAGUGGCGAAGGCGGCUCACUGGCUCGAUACUGACGCUGAGGUGCGAAAGCGUGGGGAGCAAAC
rnacentral:rRNA from 1 species